GUUGUAUGGUUAAGUGACUAAGCGUACACGGUGGAUGCCUAGGCAGUCAGAGGCGAUGAAGGACGUACUAACUUGCGAUAAGCGCAGAUAAGGCAGUAAGAGCCGUUUGAGUCUGCGAUUUCCGAAUGGGGAAACCCAACUGCACAAGCAGUUACUGUUAACUGAAUACAUAGGUUAACAGAGCAAACCGGGGGAACUGAAACAUCUAAGUACCCCGAGGAGAAGAAAUCAACCGAGAUUCCGGUAGUAGCGGCGAGCGAACCUGGAUUAGCCCUUAAGCACUCGUUGAAGUAGGUGAACAAGCUGGAAAGCUUGGCGAUACAGGGUGAUAGCCCCGUAACCGACGCUUCAUCGAGCGUGAAAUCGAGUAGGGCGGGACACGUGAUAUCCUGUCUGAAUAUGGGGGGACCAUCCUCCAAGGCUAAAUACUCCUGACUGACCGAUAGUGAACCAGUACCGUGAGGGAAAGGCGAAAAGAACCCCUGUGAGGGGAGUGAAAUAGAACCUGAAACCGUGUACGUACAAGCAGUAGGAGCACCUUCGUGGUGUGACUGCGUACCUUUUGUAUAAUGGGUCAGCGACUUAUAUUCAGUGGCAAGGUUAACCGUAUAGGGGAGCCGUAGCGAAAGCGAGUCUUAACUGGGCGCUCAGUCUCUGGAUAUAGACCCGAAACCGGGUGAUCUAGCCAUGGGCAGGUUGAAGGUUGAGUAACAUCAACUGGAGGACCGAACCGACUAAUGUUGAAAAAUUAGCGGAUGACUUGUGGCUAGGGGUGAAAGGCCAAUCAAACUCGGAGAUAGCUGGUUCUCCCCGAAAGCUAUUUAGGUAGCGCCUCGGACGAAUACUACUGGGGGUAGAGCACUGUUAAGGCUAGGGGGUCAUCCCGACUUACCAACCCUUUGCAAACUCCGAAUACCAGUAAGUACUAUCCGGGAGACACACGGCGGGUGCUAACGUCCGUCGUGGAGAGGGAAACAACCCAGACCGCCAGCUAAGGUCCCAAAGUAUUGCUAAGUGGGAAACGAUGUGGGAAGGCUCAGACAGCUAGGAUGUUGGCUUAGAAGCAGCCAUCAUUUAAAGAAAGCGUAAUAGCUCACUAGUCGAGUCGGCCUGCGCGGAAGAUGUAACGGGGCUAAGCAAUACACCGAAGCUGCGGCAAUGCCUUUUAGGUAUUGGGUAGGGGAGCGUUCUGUAAGCCGUUGAAGGUGGUCUGUAAGGGCUGCUGGAGGUAUCAGAAGUGCGAAUGCUGACAUGAGUAACGACAAAGGGGGUGAAAAACCUCCUCGCCGGAAGACCAAGGGUUCCUGUCCAACGUUAAUCGGGGCAGGGUGAGUCGACCCCUAAGGUGAGGCCGAAAGGCGUAAUCGAUGGGAAACGGGUUAAUAUUCCCGUACUUCUGACUAUUGCGAUGGGGGGACGGAGAAGGCUAGGUGGGCCAGGCGACGGUUGUCCUGGUUCAAGU
rnacentral:rRNA from 1 species